UGGAACUCGUGCCCAAUUCCCAAAGCCGUGUCUCCCCCAUAUCUCUUUCACAGAAACAAAAAAGAAGGAAACGAAGCAGAAGGGAGAAGAAGGAAGAGGAUACCCUUUCAAAACUGAAGAAGAAAGAAGAAGGAAACGAAGCAGGAGAAGAGGAUCUGAAGAAGAAGCAGAAGGAAAGGAAGAGGUCAAAGGCGCUAGUAGAAGGAUACUCUUUCUGAACUGAUUUGUGUUUUUACUAAUAUUUGGUUUAUGAGUUCUUGUUGGCAUCUUUGUUUAUCUGAACAGUUCGUUGUCGAGUUUAUCUCCAUUAUAUUUUUUAAUCUACAGACUUUUUUUAUAGGCUCCA